UGUUGGUCCCCUCGCGACGAGAAACUGUGAAUCCGGUCAGGCCUGGAAGGGAGCAGCCGCAGCAGUGGAUUCGGGCGCCGAGGUGUGGCUGGCAUCG
rnacentral:SRP_RNA from 2 species